GUAGGCCUAACACAUGCAAGUCGAACGGCAGCACAGUAAGAGCUUGCUCUUAUGGGUGGCGAGUGGCGGACGGGUGAGGAAUACAUCGGAAUCUACCUUUUCGUGGGGGAUAACGUAGGGAAACUUACGCUAAUACCGCAUACGACCUUCGGGUGAAAGCAGGGGACCUUCGGGCCUUGCGCGGAUAGAUGAGCCGAUGUCGGAUUAGCUAGUUGGCGGGGUAAAGGCCCACCAAGGCGACGAUCCGUAGCUGGUCUGAGAGGAUGAUCAGCCACACUGGAACUGAGACACGGUCCAGACUCCUACGGGAGGCAGCAGUGGGGAAUAUUGGACAAUGGGCGCAAGCCUGAUCCAGCCAUACCGCGUGGGUGAAGAAGGCCUUCGGGUUGUAAAGCCCUUUUGUUGGGAAAGAAAAGCAGUCGAUUAAUACUCGGUUGUUCUGACGGUACCCAAAGAAUAAGCACCGGCUAACUUCGUGCCAGCAGCCGCGGUAAUACGAAGGGUGCAAGCGUUACUCGGAAUUACUGGGCGUAAAGCGUGCGUAGGUGGUUGUUUAAGUCUGUUGUGAAAGCCCUGGGCUCAACCUGGGAAUUGCAGUGGAUACUGGGCGACUANAGUGUGGUAGAGGGUAGUGGAAUUCCCGGUGUAGCAGUGAAAUGCGUAGAGAUCGGGAGGAACAUCCAUGGCGAAGGCAGCUACCUGGACCAACACUGACACUGAGG
rnacentral:rRNA from 1 species